rnacentral:misc_RNA from 1 species
UCCGGUUUGGCACCGGCAGUCCUCCCAGAGUCCUCGGCAUGACCCGGUAGCAACUGGGAGCGGGGGUUGCGCUCGUUGCGGGACUUAACCCAACAUCUCACGACACGAGCUAACGACAGCCAUGCACCACCUGUGUACUGACCCGAAGGGGGCCGUGUUUCCACGGCUUUCCAGUACAUGUCAAGCCCAGGUAAGGUUCUUCGCGUUGCAUCGAAUUAAGCCACAUACUCCACCGCUUGUGCAGGCCCCCGUCAAUUUCUUUGAGUUUUAAUCUUGCGACCGUACUUCCCAGGCGGCGCAUUUAUCGCGUUAGCUUCGCCACAAACGGGGUCGAUUCCGUUUACAGCAAAUGCGCACCGUUUACAGCCAAGACUAC